rnacentral:lncRNA from 7 species
AAAUGCGUGAUUUUCACUUAAAUGGGGGAUUUUCCAAACGAAAAUGCAUGAUUUUUCUUUUAGAUGGGGGAUUUUCAUAGAGAAAAGGCAUGAUUUUUGUGUUAAGUGGGGGAUAUUUGCAAAAAAAAAAAAAAACGAGGCGUGAUUUUUGGGUUAAACAGGGGAUUUUUGAAGAGAAAAUGUGUGAUUUUCAGGUUAAAUGGG